rnacentral:misc_RNA from 1 species
GAUGAAGAACGCAGUGAAAUGCGAUAAGUAGUGUGAAUUGCAGAAUUCAGUGAAUCAUCGAAUCUUUGAACGCACAUUGCGCCCUUUGGUAUUCCUUAGGGCAUGCCUGUUCGAGCGUCAUUUGAAACCUCAAGCUCAGCUUGGUGUUGGGUGUCUGUCCCCGCCUCCGCGGGGACUCGCCUCAAAAUCAUUGGCGGCCGGUACGUUGGCUUCGAGCGCAGCAGAAACGCGAACUCGAGGCCCGGCGGAUCGGCGACCAGAAGUCUCUUCUUCACAGUUUGACCUCGGAUCAGGUAGGGAUACCCGCUGAACUUAAGCAUAUCAAUAAGCGGAGGA